rnacentral:rRNA from 1 species
CACGUAGGAGGCGAGCGUUGUCCGGAAUCAUUGGGCGUAAAGAGCGCGCAGGCGGCUUGGCAAGUCGGGUGUGAAAUCCCGGGGCUCAACCCCGUGACUGCAUCCGAUACUGUCAGGCUAGAGGUAGGUAGGGGGAGAUCGGAAUUCUGGUGUAGCGGUGAAAUGCGCAGAUAUCAGGAGGAACACCGGUGGCGAAAGGCGGAUCUCUGGGCCUUACCUGACGCUCAGGCGCGAAAGCUAGGGGAGCGAACAGGA